UUAAUGGCCUAGUGGUUAGAGUAUCCGCCUCAGAUGCGGGAUGUCGUAGGUUCAAUCCUCGGCCGAGUUAUAUCAAAU